CGAAAAAGGGCGGCAGAGCCAUGUCCACGACGAAGGGAGUCAGAGAAGUGACAGGAAUUUGAGUGGUUCCUGUAGAGGGGGUAGGGGGAAGUGACGUACUACGCGCGCGACGCCUAUAGAACGCUUCCGGCCCAGAGAGCCUCGCCAGUAGGUUGGCAUUCCUUCAGUUCGUCAAUUCCUAAAUAUGAGUAAGCGUUCGUCUUGCGGAGCUAGCUGUUUUGCGAAGAAUUUAACAGCUACAGGUCUUCUCCUCAUAGAACCAUCUGCCUAGUAACGAAAACACGUUAAUCAAGUAAUCGUGCAAACAAAUGCAAAGGUGCAGCAGUAAACGGAAGUACAACCAAAGAGGAAAACACUGGAUGGAACACAGAAAGCCUGAAGGGAGCUGGCAGUCCUGGGAGGAGGACAGAUUUUAGCAUUCUAGGAUCUCAUAUCUUAAGAACAGUGGAAAACCACUGGAGGGGAAGGAAAGACCAUGCCACGUGAUUAAUGAUGAGGGAACAUAACACAGCUGAGGGCAAAAUACAAACUAGCACCACCACCACCUACUUGCCCUGCCCAAGGUGGAAAGGGGUUUAA